rnacentral:rRNA from 1 species
UACGUAGGGGGCUAGCGUUGUCCGGAUUUAUUGGGCGUAAAGAGCGUGUAGGCGGCCAGGUAGGUCUGCUGUGAAAACUCGAGGCUCAACCUCGAGACGUCGGCGGAAACCAUCUGGCUAGAGUCCGGAAGAGGAGAGUGGAAUUCCUGGUGUAGCGGUGAAAUGCGCAGAUAUCAGGAAGAACACCCGUGGCGAAGGCGGUUCUCUGGGACGGUACUGACGCUGAGACGCGAAAGCGUGGGGAGCGAUCCGG